AGAGUGCAUGGGGGAUGUCUUGGUGUCGAGAGGCGAUGAAGGACGCGGCAGACUGCGAAAAGUUCGGGGCAGAAGUCUAGCAUUCGUUAAUCCCGAAGUGUCCGAAUGGGGAAACCCGUCGCCGGCGGGCAACCGACCGGCGUCAUCCAUGGCUGAAUGCAUAGGCCAUGAGAAGCCAACGCAGGGAACUGAAACAUCUAAGUACCUGCAGGAAAGGAAAUCAACCGAGACUCCGUCAGUAGCGGCGAGCGAAAGCGGAAUAGCCCAAACCGAUCUUCGGAUCGGGGUUGCGGGCGUCAAUCAGGAGUUACAAAGGCAGCACCAGAUGAACGGUCUGGAAAGUCCGACCACAGAAGGUGAAAGUCCUGUAGUCAAAAGUGACUGCCCUCCGUUACGAUUGGCGUACCAGAGUAGCACGGAGCUCGUGGAACUCCGUGUGAAGCUGGGGGGCCCACCCUCCAAGGCUAAGUACUCCUCGACAACCGAUAGUGAAAAGUAGCGCGAGCGAACGAUGAAAAGAACCCUUACUAAGGGAGUUAAAAGUACCUGAAACCAUGCACUUACACAGCUGUAGGAGCCCUAUGUCCCGCACUUACUUUGCACCGGGUUGCGUGAUGCGCAUUGCCUGAAGGCCGUUUUUUCGGUCGGAUUGGCGAUGUGUGCGGCCGGGUUCAAAGUAAGUGCGGGAAACGGGUGACUGCGUGCCUUUUGCAUAAUGAGCCGGCGAGUUACCGUCUGUGGCAAGGUUAAGCAUUUCCGAUGCGAAGCCGUAGCGAAAGCGAGUCUGAAUAGGGCGAUUCAGUCGCAGGUGGUAGACGCGAAACCAAGUGAUCUACCCAUGGCCAGGUGGAAGGGGAUGUAAAAAUCCCUGGACGACCGAACCCACUAACGUUGAAAAGUUAGGGGAUGAGCUGUGGGGAGGAGUAAAAGUCUAAUCAAACUUGGAGAUAGCUCGUUCUCUUCGAAAUAGCUUUAGGGCUAGCCUUGAGUAACUACCUUAUGGGGGUAGAGCUACUGAUUGGGGAUAGGGGGCCACCAGCCUACCUACUCCUACCAAACUCCGAAUACCAUAAGGCCUAUCUCAGGAGUCAGACUGCGGGGGAUAACCUCCGUGGUCAAAAGGGAAACAACCCAGAUCGCCAGCUAAGGUCCCGAAUUUCUGCUUAGUUAGAAAGGAAGUCCAAUUGCUGUGACAAUCAGGAUGUUGGCUUAGAAGCAGCCACCAUUUAAAAAGUGCGUAAUAGCUUACUGAUCGAGCAGUUGGGUGCCGAUAAUGACCGGGAAUAAGCAGAAAACCGAAGCUGCGGGCGCUGCAAGCAAUUGCGGCGCGGUAGGAGAGCGUAACAGUCCGCGCUGAAGCGGUACGGCAACGAGCCGUGGAGCGACUGUUAGUGAUUAUGCCGGCAUGAGUAACGAUAAAACAGGUGAGAAUCCUGUUCGCCGAAAACCUAAGGUUUCCUGGGGAAGGUAAAUCCGCCCAGGGUUAGUCGGCCCCUUAGUCGAGGCUGAAAGGCGUAGACGAUGGGCAGCAGGUUAAUAUUCCUGCACCACGUUGGCGGACGUAAGCAGUGACGCAUUUUUUAAGGUCAUCCCGUGAGUAGUCGUGCGGGUCCCGCAAGGGCGAGGCCGCUUUUGAUGCCGAAGUGACCGGCGAAGAUGCCGAGAAAUAGCUGCUGUAGGUUGAAGUCAGCGUGACCGUACUAAAACUGACACAGGUAGGUGAGGAGAAUAUCCUCAGGCGCUCGAGAAAACCGUCCUUAAGGAACUCGGCAAAUUGACCCCGUAAGUUCGCGAUAAGGGGUCCCUCCAGAUGCUUUUAUUUCGAUAGAGGCAUGCUGAGGGCGCAGUGAAGUGGCUCUGGCGACUGUUUAUCAAAAACACAGUUCUCUGCUAACACGAAAAGUGGAUGUAUAGAGAAUGACGCCUGCUCGGUGCCGGAAGGUUAAGGGGAUGGGUCAGCUCCCUUCGGGGGGCGAAGCUCCUAACUGAAGCCCCGGUAAACGGCGGCCGUAACUAUGACGGUCCUAAGGUAGCGAAGUUCCUUGUCGGGUAAGUUCCGACGUGCAUGAACGGCGUAACGACUGGAGCACUGUCUCAAGGACGGACUCGGUGAAAUUGUAGUUGUGGUGAAGAUACCACGUACCCGCGGCAAGACGGAAAGACCCCGUGAACCUUUACUGUAGCCUGGUAUUGACGCCUGGCAUAUCAUGCGUAGGAUAGGUGGGAGGCUGUGAAGCGGUGCUUUCGGGCAUCGUGGAGCCGUCGUUGAAAUACCACCCUUGCUAUGUUAGUCGCCUAACCAUGACCCGUGAAUCCGGGCAUGGGACCGUGCUAGGUGGGCAGUUUGACUGGGGCGGUCUCCUCCAAAAGCGUAACGGAGGAGUUCAAAGGUACCCUCAGCGUGGUUGGCAAUCACGCAUAGAGCGCAAAGGUAGAAGGGUGCUUAACUGUGAGACUGAUAGGUCGAGCAGAUGCGAAAGCAGGACUUAGUGAUCCGGUGGUUCCGAGUGGAAGGGCCAUCGCUCAUCAGAUAAAAGGUACUCCGGGGAUAACAGGCUGAUCGCCUCCGAGCGUUCAUAGCGGCGAGGCGGUUUGGCACCUCGAUGUCGGCUCAUCACAUCCUGGGGCUGAAGGUGGUCCCAAGGGUUUGGCUGUUCGCCAAUUAAAGUGGUACGCGAGCUGGGUUCAGACCGGCGUGAGCCAGGUCGGUCCCUAUCUGCCGUGGGCGCAGGAAUCUUGAAGGGAUGUUUCCUUAGUACGAGAGGAUUGGGAAGCACUGACCUCUGGUGUACCAGUUGUCGCGCUAGCGGCACCGCUGGGUAGCUAAGUCGGGACAGGAUAACCGCUGAAAGCAUCUAAGCGGGAAGCCCCCCCUGAGACGAGGAUUCCAUGGACUUCGGUCCUGAAGAGCCCUGGAAGACGACCAGGUUGAUAGGCCGGGUGUGUAAGCGGCGAAAUCCGCUCAGCUAACCGGUACUAACGCUCGACGACUUGACC
rnacentral:rRNA from 1 species